rnacentral:rRNA from 1 species
UGCAAGCCGAGGGGUAACAGGGAGUGCUUGCACUCUGCUGACGACCGGCGCACGGGUGCGUAACGCGUAUGCAACCUACCUUCUACAGGGGGAUAGUCCAGAGAAAUUUGGCAUAAUACCCCAUACGAUCAUUUAUUGGCAUCGAUAGAUGAGGAAAACUCCGGUGGUAGAAGAUGGGCAUGCGUCCUAUUAGUUAGUUGGUAAGGUAACGGCUUACCAAGACAUCGAUAGGUAGGGGUCCUGAGAGGGAGAUCCCCCACACUGGUACUGAGACACGGACCAGACUCCUACGGGAGGCAGCAGUGAGGAAUAUUGGACAAUGGAGGCAACUCUGAUCCAGCCAUGCCGCGUGCAGGAAGACGGCCCUACGGGUUGUAAACUGCUUUUAUACAGGAAGAAACGCCGCUACGUGUAGCGGCUUGACGGUACUGUACGAAUAAGGAUCGGCUAACUCCGUGCCAGCAGCCGCGGUAAUACGGAGGAUCCAAGCGUUAUCCGGAAUCAUUGGGUUUAAAGGGUCCGUAGGCGGUUUUUUAAGUCAGAGGUGAAAUCCUGCAGCUCAACUGUAGCAUUGCCUUUGAUACUGAAAGACUUGAGUUAUUGUGAAGUAGUUAGAAUGUGUAGUGUAGCGGUGAAAUGCAUAGAUAUUACACAGAAUACCGAUUGCGGAGGCAGAUUACUAACAAUAUACUGACGCUGAGGGACGAAAGCGUGGGUAGCGGACAGGAUUAGAUACCCUGGUAGUCCACGCCGUANACGAUGGAUACUAGCUGUUCGACCAACAUUGGUUGGUUGAGUGGCUAAGCGAAAGUGAUAAGUAUCCCACCUGGGGAGUACGCUCGCAAGAGUGAAAC